rnacentral:rRNA from 1 species
GACGAACGCUGGCGGCGUGCUUAACACAUGCAAGUCGAGCGGUAAGGCCCUUUCGGGGGUACACGAGCGGCGAACGGGUGAGUAACACGUGGGUGACCUGCCUUUAGCUCUGGGAUAAGCCUGGGAAACCGGGUCUAAUACCGGAUAUGACUCCGCGGCGCAUGUUGUGGGUGGAAAGCCUUGUGCGGCUGGAGAUGGGCCCGCGGCCUAUCAGCUUGUUGGUGGGUGAUGGCCUACCAAGGCGACGACGGGUAGCCGGCCUGAGAGGGCGACCGGCCACACUGGGACUGAGACACGGCCCAGACUCCUACGGGAGGCAGCAGUGGGGAAUCUUGCGCAAUGGGCGAAAGCCUGACGCAGCGACGCCGCGUGAGGGAUGACGGCCU